AAGUAACAACUCAUCAGCUUUUGGUACCCUCUCUGCCAUAAUAUAAUAAUAACAAAAUGACCAAAUUACUUAACACCCAAAAUUCCUCUCCAUGCCCUUUCUAUUUAUACCCCUUUCCCUUAUGCCCUUUCUCUUUUAAUAUAUGCCCUUCUCUCUCUCUCUCUCUCCACCGUGUGCUCCGCCGUGCGCCACUAGCUGUUGAAGCUGCCAGCAUGAUCUGAAUCUGAACCCUCCGCCACCCGGCCCUGGCUCCGACAUCGGUCCAUCGGAAUCGGAUCAUAUUGGUAGCUUCACCUGCUCAUGGCAUUUUACUUGGGAAACUCAAAUAUUAUCUCUGCACAAAGAUUGGAGAGAAGAUAUGAUCAUAUUAGGGUUUCAAUGACACAAAUUUUGAAUAUGUCGGGAGAAGGAUCCAACAUUCGAUUUAUUUUGAAGUACUAUAUUAUCUAUUCAACUAUGUUUAGAUUAGAUUAAUUAUUGAUUAAAAAUUACUUCUAAUUUCUAAAUUUGUAUAAAAAUAACAAUUUAGUCUCUAAACUUUAGUUUGUAAUAAUUUAGUCCCUGAACGUUCAAUUUUGUAACAAUUUAGUCUAUGAACUUUACUAUGUAAUAAUUUAGUUUUAUACUUUAAAAUUUGUGACAAUUUAAUCCUUAUUAUAGAAAUUAGUGUUAAUAUUUAAUGA